UCCCUGUUGGCUUAGUGGUAUGGAAUCUGCCUGCAAUGCAGAAGUCACAGGAGAUGCAGGUUCAAUUCCUGGGUUGGGAA
rnacentral:tRNA from 1 species